rnacentral:rRNA from 1 species
UACGUAGGGGGGCUAGCGUUGUCCGGAAUCAUUGGGCGUAAAGCGCGUGUAGGCGGUCCGGUAAGUCCGCUGUGAAAGUCGGGGGGCUCAACCCUCGGAUGCCGGUGGAUACUGUCGGGCUUGAGUACGGAAGAGGCGAGUGGAAUUCCUGGUGUAGCGGUGAAAUGCGCAGAUAUCAGGAGGAACACCAAUUGCGAAGGCAGCUCGCUGGGACGUUACUGACGCUGAGACGACGAACGUGGGGAGCAAACAGG